CCUGAACGAACGUUUCAAUUCUUACUAGAUUUCAAUUAACAUUGCUACGAACAGGUUAUGGAAUACUCUGAUGGUAGAGAAACCUGUGAAAUUGGAGGCUCCGGGCGAAGUGUGAUGGUGGAGGGUGGCGCUUCGAACGCUGUAGGUGCUUGGAUCGGUGUCUGUCGCGGCGAGUAACUAUUCUGAGGCUGUUGCUGCAAUCAACAACGGGGGAGCAUAUCCUUGGAUAUGUACAGCUGUUGACUACACGCUUGUUUCUCAGAAGAUAAGGAGACAUUUUAUCACACACAGAACACUGGAGGGUACACCUUUCCUGUCAAGUGAUCCAGCUGUCGAGGUUCUACAUUGCGCAUAGGUGUCAACUCCUCUUAAUUAUCUAAACUAAGAGAGCGUCUUGGAGGAGAGCUUCCCAACUUUAUCUAAGAUCCUCUGACACCAAGUGAUCAGCUAAAGAUGCUCAUCAGGUGAUACUGAGACUGCAAGUCGACACCUAUGCAUUGCCCACUUACCUGAGGACGUUGAUUCUGCUGCUGUGGCGGCUGUCGUUGCUGCUGCUGCUGCUGCUGGUGGGGCCAAUAGGCAGGCUGAGAUACCGGGGACGUUGCCGGCGGUGUGACCGGUGCCCAGCCCUUAGGCACGGGUUGGUGUUGGAAGUGCGAUGGUUGCCGAAGAGUUCCACCAGGGCUAACCGGCGACGGGGACGAGGGGGCACCGCUCUGGGCCGAGGUACGUGCGAUCGACGGUGGCUGAGGCGAGGAACCUGACGAAGGACUGCUCUGGUACGAGGCGCGCUCACCGAUUCCACGGGUCUUUCGGAAAACAGAGGCAUUUUUCAAAGGCACUGCCGCCGCGACAACUGGCGAAUUCUGUUUCCCCGACUUCGGUGGAGAGAAUUGUCUCGGUACAUCCGCCUCGACAGCCACAGUGGUGUAGUCAACCGCAAUGAGAUGUCGUGGGUAUAACGUGAUUUGGGAACAUGUAGCCACAGCCAGAAUACAGUGAGGCCGUUAUUUAAACUUCAAAGAUCAUUCAAGAGUUUUCCCUCAGUCUAGGGACCCUAUCACUAUGUCCUGUUUUAGGGUCCCUAUGACUUCUGAAGAAAUUCAUGAUCUCACUAUAUUGUGGAGGCGACUAUGCUACAUCUUGACAGCGUGCUACAGCUACUUGCAACGUAUACACGUAAUAGUAAGGUCCAAAAGUUUAUUGACAGCCUUUCAGGUCGUGUUAGGAAUAAGGGAGGAUCUUGAACCAAAGCAAAAUAAUGAAUAUUCCUACUUGGCUGUUUACAGAUAACUGUACCAAGUACUUAAAAGUAUAGUUAACUGAAGGAACUGAAUAAAAUACACCCUGGUACAAUAUAGAAUUAUUUUAAGUUCAUCUUAGGCUUAUGAUAAAAAAACCAUAUUGGACCUUACUAUGUAACAGCAGGCAAGUAACCAGGGGAAGAUUUGUUAAAAAAAAAGGAUGAAAAAACGUGACAGGGGUGGUUGAUGCAGAUGCACGAGCAGACAACGAAGAGGCAGGUACAAAAUAAUACAAAAAUCACAGGUAACUCGUUCAAAAAUGCAGAAAACUAGGGUCUUCAUGGUGUCGCUAUCGUUUCAAAGGUGUGCUAAGUUUGACUUUUCAAUUGUGUCACCGUUAUACACACACAGGUAACCAGUUCUAAUCAUUUCAAUAGAAAUUAUGUGUGUGUACAAAAGAAAAUUUCGGUGGAGGAUUUACCUUCGCUUGGACAGGUCCUUGUUCUACAAAAUCAAAGUCCUGGUCUUCCGGGGGUGGUGGCCAAGCUACGCGUUUAAGACCUGCAAUAAAUCAUUCUUAAUUAAAUAAAAAAAAAAAAAAUA